GAAGGCGCCCGAUCUCGUCUGAUCUCGGAAGUCUAAGC
rnacentral:rRNA from 1 species